rnacentral:piRNA from 1 species
UGUUUGUGUGGGGCUCACCUGUGCCUUUGU